UACGGGGGGAGCAAGCGUUGUUCGGAUUUACUGGGCGUAAAGGGCGCGUAGGCGGCCACCGCAAGUCAGUUGUGAAAGCUCUGGGCUUAACCCAGAAAGGUCAACUGAUACUGCGGGGCUAGAGUGCAGAAGGGGCAACUGGAAUUCUCGGUGUAGCGGUGAAAUGCGUAGAUAUCGAGAGGAACACCUGCGGCGAAGGCGGGUUGCUGGGCUGACACUGACGCUGAAGUGCGAAAGCCAGGGGAGCAAACGGG
rnacentral:rRNA from 1 species